UAUUCCUACCAGCAGCUGCUUAUCAGAGAAAACAUUAGGCCUUUGGUUUUGGGGAGGAUUGGCUUAUUUCACUUAGCAUAAUAUUCUCUAGUUCCAUCCAUUUACCUGCAAAUGCCAUCAUUUCAUUUUUCUUUAAGGCUGAGUAAUAUUCCAUUGUGUAUAUAUAACACAUUUUCUUUGUCCAUUCAUCUGUUGAAGGGCAUCUAGGUUGG
rnacentral:lncRNA from 1 species